rnacentral:rRNA from 1 species
AUUGAGCGCUGGCGGAAUGCUUUACACAUGCAAGUCGAACGGCAGCACGGGGGCAACCCUGGUGGCGAGUGGCGAACGGGUGAGUAAUACAUCGGAACGUGCCCGGUCGUGGGGGAUAACGUAGCGAAAGUUACGCUAAUACCGCAUACGAUCUGAGGAUGAAAGCGGGGGACCUUCGGGCCUCGCGCGAUCGGAGCGGCCGAUGUCAGAUUAGGUAGUUGGUGGGGUAAAGGCCUACCAAGCCGACGAUCUGUAGCUGGUCUGAGAGGACGACCAGCCACACUGGGACUGAGACACGGCCCAGACUCCUACGGGAGGCAGCAGUGGGGAAUUUUGGACAAUGGGCGCAAGCCUGAUCCAGCCAUUCCGCGUGCAGGACGAAGGCCUUCGGGUUGUAAACUGCUUUUGUAUGGAACGAAAAGGCUCUGGCUAAUACCUGGGGCUCAUGACGGUACCGGAAGAAUAAGCACCGGCUAACUACGUG